rnacentral:rRNA from 1 species
GAUGAACGCUGGCGGCGUGCCUAAUACAUGCAAGUCGAGCGAACGGACGAGAAGCUUGCUUCUCUGAUGUUAGCGGCGGACGGGUGAGUAACACGUGGAUAACCUACCUAUAAGACUGGGAUAACUUCGGGAAACCGGAGCUAAUACCGGAUGAUAUUUUGAACCGCAUGGUUCAAAAGUGAAAGACGGUCUUGCUGUCACUUGUAGAUGGAUCCGCGCUGCAUUAGCUAGUUGGUAAGGUAACGGCUUACCAAGGCAACGAUGCAUAGCCGACCUGAGAGGGUGAUCGGCCACACUGGAACUGAGACACGGUCCAGACUCCUACGGGAGGCAGCAGUAGGGAAUCUUCCGCAAUGGGCGAAAGCCUGACGGAGCAACGCCGCGUGAGUGAUGAAGGUCUUCGGAUCGUAAAACUCUGUUAUUAGGGAAGAACAUAUGUGUAAGUAACUAUGCACAUCUUGACGGUACCUAAUCAGAAAGCCACGGCUAACUACGUG